rnacentral:rRNA from 1 species
UGCAGUCGAGGGGUAACAUUGGUGCUUGCACCAGAUGACGACCGGCGCACGGGUGCGUAACGCGUAUACAAUCUACCUUUUGCUAAGGGAUAGCCCAGAGAAAUUUGGAUUAAUACCUUAUAGUAUGUAGACUUCUCAUGAAGAUUACAUUAAAGAUUACGGCAAAAGAUGAGUAUGCGUCCUAUUAGUUUGUUGGUGUGGUAACGGCACACCAAGACUACGAUAGGUAGGGGCCCUGAGAGGGGGAUCCCCCACACUGGUACUGAGACACGGACCAGACUCCUACGGGAGGCAGCAGUGAGGAAUAUUGGACAAUGGAGGCAACUCUGAUCCAGCCAUGCCGCGUGCAGGAAGACUGCCCUAUGGGUUGUAAACUGCUUUUAUACAGGAAGAAACACUCCCUCGUGAGGGAGCUUGACGGUACUGUAAGAAUAAGGAUCGGCUAACUCCGUGCCAGCAGCCGCGGUAAUACGGAGGAUCCAAGCGUUAUCCGGAAUCAUUGGGUUUAAAGGGUCCGUAGGUGGAUAAUUAAGUCAGAGGUGAAAGUUUGCAGCUCAACUGUAAAAUUGCCUUUGAUACUGGUUAUCUUGAGUUAUUGUGAAGUAGUUAGAAUAUGUAGUGUAGCGGUGAAAUGCAUAGAUAUUACAUA